GAAAGGCGAUAAAGUCUGGUGACACAUCACAGGGAAUGUUUAAAGUGCAUAGGGAGAGAUUGUUUUCUUUCCCCCUCCUUGCACCUAGCAGGGAGAGGAGUGUGCGGAAAGAUGGAGUUGAGACAGAAACUUGUUAGCAUAACACCGAAGGAGUUUUGCUGUGAGUAGCAUCAGCAUAGCAGGAGAACAUCCCUAGCUCUCCUGCCGCUGCUCUGCCACAAGGAGAGAAAGGGAAAAGCAAAUUCAGCAGGACCUCUAGGACUUUGCUGUAGAUCUCCAGGUGGAGCCAGGACCCUCCAGGAGAACUGAUGGCUAGAAAAGACUGCAAGUAAUGUGGAGGAAGGAAGAAGAGAGAGAGCAGAGAGAGAUGAUUCUUGCAAACAUUGAUCUGUGUAGAGCGGAUGUCAACUUGAUGGGAUAAGACCUGGGUUGACUUGGUAUCUGGGUUCAGGUCAGCAAACUCUAACGGCAUUUCCUUCUACUAGCAGACAGAUCUGCUCAUCCUGCGACAUUGUGGACAGUGCUGAAUGGCUUCCAGAACAUUCCUCUUAUGUCUACUGGUUAAACUUUGAAGCAUCUGAACCAUUUGGGAGAGCAGGGACCCCCAUGAACAGGAGAUACUGGAGGUGUCUGAGGCCACUUCAUGCCCUUUCUCAAGAGUGGCCUGCAGGUCUUUCAGCCACUGGCCACUGAAGUCCAGCUCCUGCCAGCCAUGGAUUUGGGCACUGGGCUCCAGUGUUGAGAAAGUUCUUGACUUCCAGCGCUUGUUUUCCUAGUGGACAAUAGGAGUCAGAGACAGAGAGGGAGAGUGAAGAUGCAGAAGACAUAUCCUUUCCAUUGUGACCCAGAUAAGAAUGUAGCCGGUGAGCUUGCUUCCUGUCACUCAUUUCCCAGCUAUUUGUUGUAGUCCAAGUUGUGCAUAUUCUUUCUGUUAGGUUCUUAUGUUUGUCUUAAGCUCACCCAUCUUUUCUUCUUCCCUCAUUUUUUCUUUAUAAAUCAAGAAAAAUUCUGCCACUUUCUUUCCCUGGCUCACUGCACAGCCAAUCAAUAAUUUUGAAUCCUUUGUGUAUCAAUUUCUACUGGCUAUUCAUUAUUUGUGGAAACCAUAUUAACGGGUCCAUAAAAAUCACAGCAAUCCAUUUGUUAAAUUCAUCAUAAGAACAGAUUACAUCUUUCUGGCCAAGUUUCAUGGUUUGGUAAUAUCAUAUUUUGGUUUUAGAAUUUAUAAGGUGCAUUCUCCCAUACUUUUCAAGUAUAUUUUUUAUUCAUUGCCCUCUCUGAAUUAGGCAUUUUUGGGGAUGCACGUUUUACAGAUAUGGAGACAAUGGUUCAGAGAAAUCAGCUUGUUCACAGUGGGGCCAGAGCUGGGACCUAGGGCUUCUGACUCUAUGUCUCAGGUCAUUCCUAUCACACACACACUGAAGGAGAAAAGAGUUCCCUUGUCUGGAGAAGACAUAUCAAAUUCAUGCGGGUUAAACACAGAAAUUCCAAAUAGCUGUAGUUUUUGUAAAAAUGGUUGAGCUAUGGACUUUUAAAGUAGUUGGCCACCUGUGGUGGUGGGUGGAAGGGAGUUAGGGCAGGAUUGUUGUGCUUCAGGGAGGAUUCAGUGUCUGCACGACCACGGAGGGGGGUGCAGGGCACCAGGUAUCCAGGACUGUUGUCAAGAGUUAUGCUUUGAAUUUCCCAGAGAAGACACACUGCUGCGAAAGGAAGAAAUCGUUGGUUUUUCUCCAACUGCUUAGCUGUUAAGAAGCAAGAAGCCUAUCUCCAAGGCAGCAGCAGGCCUCAGAGAAAACAGUAGGACCCUUCCUUCAAACAAAGGAGAAAACUCCCACAACUCAAAGCAAGUGCCCCCUGGUCAUUCUCUCAAAAAGCUACAGGCUCCAAAAAAAGACAGACUUCACAGGCUAGAGACGGGCUCUGCACUCAGGGUUGGUGGUCGGGGGCACAGAGCUGGCUGGGCAGGGCCAGAGGGGACCACAUUCUGCCACAUGCAGAGCAAAGCAGUAUCUUUCUAUUACUGGUCAAUGUAAUAUGAGCUGGGAAUGAGCAAUUUCAUACCUUUUUCUGAGAUAUUAAAAAGAAAUACGCUGAUGUGGCUGGAGGUAAUUUCCCAAAGCCUGUGGAUGGAGUUGAUGUCAGUAACUGGCUAUGAGGUUGUUAUUUACAGGACUGUUUGAUCCCACUGAAGUAGUGGUGCUUAAUAUGUAGCUCAAUGUGGCUCAGGAGCGAGGCCCAAUACUGCAUAUAAACCACCAUCCUGCAAUUUAUCCAGAGAGCAUGUGGGAGGUGAACCUUGAAUCAUUUGCUUGAUGGAUUUUUUUCUUUCCUUGGAAACAGAAAAACGAAUCUCAGUUUUCUCCCUAAGCCUUAGGCAACAGGGCUCCUUGCAAGUCACCUUCCCUUCCUUGUCCCCAAAACAAAGAUGCAUACAUGUUCCCCGAGCACUGCAAACACAGCCUUUCUUUCAGGGGCAGCUGGGUCCCUGGAUCCGCUUUCCCUCCCCUGGGCUGGUCCCAGUGUAAAUCAUCAGAUCUCCAGGUCCACUCGUCUGCACACAGGCUGCUUUGUAAGUGGGAGAAAGAAUCCACAGAACUUUACACUAAAUCCCCAUGGGAACCAGGUGAAUAGGUGUGUGUGUUUGCACACAAGCCCGUAUACAUGGCAAACCAAUCCAAGAGAUGGUGACCGAUGGGUCCAUAAAGACUCUGGCUGGCAAUGCUGUCAGCUUCCUUCAGCUGAGCGUCAGUUAGUUACCCUGGUAGUCUCAAAUGUCUCCUUGUGUCUGGAGACAACAUAGGGCCUGGCCCUGAGGACUGCCAGGCUGGGUCGCCCGGCAGCUGCACCUGUUGUAGGCUGGGUAGGCCCCCUAAAAUGCUUUGGGCAGCCCAAGAGUGUCUUCCUGAGUCAUGUGGAGCUGCCUCACCAGCAGCCCAGUGAGAGAUUCACAGCCCUAGUGGAGAGUGGAAGCCCUGGGCUAUCCCAAGCAAUCCUUGCGUCUGUGGGGCUGGUGCCGCCCCUUUGCGUCUCUUCUUGCAGCUAAGCAGAGCUCAGAGGCCAGGAAAAAAGCCACUGGGUGUCUUUGGAAACAGCUGACCUGAUUUUCAACAUUCCCUUUGAGCAUUUGCUAAAGGGGCACCACAGAAGGGCAUUAAGGAUGCCACCGUGGAAGGAAGCUGCAGAUGACAGAAGCGUGAGCACUGCUGGAAAAUGAGAAAGCUGAGUUGGGACUGCGUGCCAUGGAGAACCUGUACUGUCACCCUCCCCAGCCAUCUGACUACCAGCAGCUUCAGCAGCAUCAUCAUUUGCAUUCAUUCAUCUCUUUUCCUCACUCCCUCCCUCGAUGAAUCUCUUUGGGAAUGAUCUUCAAAAACUUUGCUUAGGUUUCAAGGUGCUUUUGAUUCACUGUAUUUUUCUUUAAAUAAGCCUUUUAAUUGAGCACAACGUUCAUAGAGAGAAGCGCACACAUCCUGAGGGGUCAGCCCAAAGAAUUUUCAGAAAGUGAACACGUGAGGGUGGCAAGCACCUGGACUAGGAACCAGAACACCGCCAGCGCCCCAGAUGUGCCCUUUUAGUCCACUUCUAGUCACUGUGCUCCCAUGAGGGUGCUCACCCUACCCUCUAGUACUGACAUUGAUGUUGCUUAUUUGUGAACUUCACUUGAAUGAACUCAUGCAACAGCGUGUCUGUGAGGUUCAUGCACGUUUCUGAACGUGGGAUCGCUGAAGUGUGGGGUUGUAUUCGAAACUGUAGUUUGCACUCAAAGAACAGCAAGUGGAAGAAAAUUACUUUGGAAAGGAAUUUUCAAAUCGAGUGUGAAUGAGAGGGUCUUUGGGACUUUGGCCUUUGGAGUUGAGCUGACCUAAAGGUAGAAGGUGAACUAGGAUCCUCUUAGCUCCCCACUCCACUCUGAACUGUGCUCCCAGGGCAAUCCAGCUUCUGCUCUCUUUUACUACUACUUCAUGUAAUGAUAAAAAUUAUGUCAGGUUAAAUAUCAGUAAUUGCUUAAGUGAGUUUGUAUAUCAAGCUGUGUAGUAACGCCUCACUGAAACACUGCUCAGCUGAGACUGAGAUUCAGUGUGUUGACGAAAAGAGUUAAACUCUAACAUAUUUGAAGAGAUUUAUUCUGAGCCAAAUAUGAGAGACCAUGGCCUGUGACACAGCCCUCAGGAGUCCUGAGGACAUGUGCCCAAGGUGGUUGAGGUACAGCUUGGUUUUAUGUAUUUUAGGAAGGGAUGAGACAUCAAUCAAAUACAUUUAAGAAACACAUUGGUUUGGUUCAGAAAAGGCGGAACAACUCAAAGUGGGGAGGCUUCCAGGCUAUAGGUAAAUUUAAACAUUUUCUGGUUGAUAAUUGGUAGAGUUUAUUUGAAGGUCUGGAAUUAAUGGAAAGGAAUGUUCAGGUUAAGAUAAAGGACUGUGGAGACCAAGUUUUAUUGUUCAGAGGAAUCUCUCAGAUAGCAGACUUCAGAGAGAGAGCAGGUUGUAAAAUGUUUCUUAUAAGACCUAAAAGGGUGCCUGGCUCUUAGUUGGUUAUCUCCUGGGUCUGGAAAGAAAGGAAGGAAAACAAACGGGGAAGGAGAUUCUCUGUAGAUUGUGGAUUUUUCCCACAGAGACUUUGCAGGACAAUUUCAAGGCAUGGCAAGGAAAUGUAUUUUGGGGUAAAACAUUUCGAUUUUCUUCCUUGUUAUGCCAGAGUCAGAUUGGAAAGUAAGUCACUAUAUACAGGGUCAAAUAAAACCCAUCUGAUGAGAAUUUAUGGUUUGUAGGGUAUGACUCCCUAGACCCCUUAGAUAGGAAUUUGGGCAAGAUAAAAAAAAUCAGAUCUUAGUCCUCAAGUGUAAAGCAGAUCAAUUGAGAAUCCAAAUCUGCAGGGUAUAAGGUCAGACGCAGUCAACCGAUGCAUGAACCAAGAAGCAUUUAUAGAAGCCUCUGGCGCUUUUCCUUUGCUCACCUCUGUCCACAGGCUCUGAACUAAUUCCUUCAUUUUUUUUUAAAUUUGCAAAUAAGAUUACUGUAUUAUAGAUUUGAAGAUGCACCCAAUUAUUUUAUAAGCUUUUUUUUAUGUAACACUAAGAAAUUAAAAAAAUGCUGAAGGUGCAGUCUAGUAGGAGACCCUGCAGCUGAAAUGCUGAAGUCAUUCUUUGUGUGCAGGAAACAAGAAAAAAGCCUGCCAUGCAGAAAGUCACUGAGAAACCUGCUGGCCUCCAUGGUGGCACGUGGGGGAGGGAGGAGAAGAAAACUCCUGAAAGAAUGUGGACCACACAGCAUGCUCUGGUGGGUAUGUGGGCUGACAAAGAACAGGGAGCGCUAACAGUGAAAAUGAAGAGCCUGCCCCGCCUCCCAGCGUGGACCUUGACCUGGGGCCAGACCAAGGCCACUUUAUAGAAACGUCCCUGGAGCGUGUCUCAGGUGGCCCUGCCUGCAUCCUGGCCUACCUCUGGGGCCCUUCUUACCCACAGUCCUACUUUCCACCCACCUUGACCCCAAGAGGUGUUCAUUUAUAACGCCCCUGCAUCUUCUCAACUUCAAAGUCAGCUCGGACCUCGUUCACCCAGACAAGACCUUGGCUGAGUCUUGACAAACUGGCACAGGGUCCCCCGACAGAAGACAGCUUUCCUUUCUCUUUGCUUUCCUUUAUCUUAGCCGAGUCCGGCCUCCCCAGCACUCUUUUCCAUCUGGGGACAGUUCGUGCUGGUGGGAAUUGGCAGGGGCACACGGUCCAGACAGAGACAACUGAAACACAGGUGUCCCGCUGGUGUGCCAGCAGGGCGGCCGUCCUACCAGGAGCAGGACACUUUGUUGGCCACUGCCCAUGCAAUAAUCAGCGUGGGACAAACAGUCCCAUGGGGAGUGAGGUGAUGUGAAGAAAAGGAAGCCGAAGAAGAGAAGAAGCUGAAGGGCCAGUAAACACACACAUAGACGCUCACCCUCCCCUUCGUUGGAAAAAUGAACGGCUGCUGUUGCCGAGGGCUGGUGAGGAUGAGGCCCCAGGCCUGCAGGAGGGCACAUCCGGUUGGCCGCCUCGACGGGGCCAUCUGGGUAGCUGCUGCCCUUUGCAUGUAAAUAAAGCUCCUCAAAGCCCCAUUUCACAACUGCUGGGAGAAACAGCAUCCUUCCCUCCUUCCCUAUAUUUCCAGGGAGGAGGUGGCUGGUUUUUUUUGUUGUUGUGUUUUUUUUGUUUGUUUGUUUUGUUUUGUUUUGUUUUUUCCAGAUUUCUCCCAGCCACAUCCAGCUUCUUGUUCUGUAAUUUUUUUUUCCAAAUUACUGACUGCCUUCUUUCAAGGGGAAAUGGAACUCAGAAAGAUGGGAAGAUACAUGAUAAGAGCACUUAAGAGAGAAGCCUGUCCAUUUCCACUAAGGUUGAAGUGUGCAUACUCCAGGAUCCAGUCCUUCAUGUCUACACAAGGAGUCCCAGGAAAAGGUCUGUGCAAAACGUUUGUAAUUGCAACGGAGCAGCCACGACCUAGCCCUCCUUCAGCAGAGGAAUGAAUAAACUGGUUUAUUCAGUCAACGCAGCAGUUAAAAUGAGAGAAUUAGUGAUGUUGAAAGGAAAAAUGAAGAGCAAACAGAUACAGUAGGAAGUUAUCACGUACAUUUCAAAAACAUUCAAAACAACCGUACAUAUUUAUGGAUUCAUGUAAUAAUGCAGUAAAAAUACAAAAUCAGAGCCAGGACUGUGGCACACUGAAUUCAGCACAAUGGUCGUCUCUAAAUGUGGGUUCAUGUGGGAGGAGGUGACCCCGGGGUGGGGGCUUCUGCUGUAUUUGUCAUGUUUGGGUUAUUUGAAAGGGAGAGAGAGCACUGUAGUUAUACAGUAAAAUGCAAACAUAUUUUUUAUUUUAGUGGUGAGUAUACAGGUGUCUGUUGUGCUGUUUUCUGUGUGUUUGAAUGGUUUCAUAAUUUUUAGAAAAUUAAACCAUGAGGUCGGAUAUGGUGGCUCACCCCUGUAAUUCCAGCACUUUGGGGGGUCAGAGCAGAAGGAUUGCUUGAAGACCAGCCUGGGCAACAUAGCAAGAUUCUAUCUUUACAAUUUCUAAAACAUUUUUCAAUUUAAAAAUGAUAAACAAUGAAAAACUGCAAAGAAAUAGAUUGAAAAGUUCACAGUUGCUUUUGCCACAUUUUGUGAAUAUGUUAUUUUUAUAAUGAAAAA
ensembl:lncRNA novel transcript